UUAUUGGAGAGUUUGAUCCUGGCUCAGGACGAACGCUGGCGGCGUGCCUAAUACAUGCAAGUCGAGCGAAUCAAUGGGAGCUUGCUCCCAGAGAUUAGCGGCGGACGGGUGAGUAACACGUGGGUAACCUGCCUGUAAGAUUGGGAUAACUCCGGGAAACCGGAGCUAAUACCGGAUAACAUUUUGAACCGCAUGGUUCAAAAUUGAAAGAUGGCGUC
rnacentral:rRNA from 1 species